UGAAAUCUUUUGACAGCUUCCGAAGUGCUAAUUUUUUACCUUUUUCAGCUGGACCUAAGCACUACUUUACAUUAAUAUUUAUGACCCAAUUUUUUUUACAGUGUCAUUUCAACCCCCAACUUGCUAUAUGAGGCAUAAAACAUGGAGAAAUAAAUUUGGAAGGGGUAUAACAAAAAUUGGCAAGUAACACACUGUCCACACUAAGGACUAUAUUCGUGGACAACGAAAAUCAAAGGACGAUAACUGUGUACUCGGACCA
rnacentral:lncRNA from 1 species